ensembl:lncRNA
GUAGUCAGUGUGUAGUUAGUGUGUAGUUAGUGUGUAGUCAGUGUGUAGUCAGUGUGUAGUUAGUGUGUAGUUAGUGUGUAGUCAGUGUGUAGUUAGUGUGUAGUUAGUGUGUAGUCAGUGUGUAGUCAGUGUGUAGUUAGUGUGUAGUUAGUGUGUAGUCAGUGUGUAGUUAGUGUGUAGUUAGUGUGUAGUCAGUGUGUAGUUAGUGUGUAGUUAGUGUGUAGUCAGUGUGUAGUCAGUGUGUAGUUAGUGUGUAGUCAGUGUGUAGUCAGUGUGUAGUUAGUGUGUAGUUAGUGUGUAGUCAGUGUGUAGUCAGUGUGUAGUCAGUGUGUAGUUAGUGUGUAGUUAGUGUGUAGUCAGUGUGUAGUUAGUGUGUAGUCAGUGUGUAGUCAGUGUGUAGUUAGUGUGUAGUCAGUGUGUAGUUAGUGUGUAGUUAGUGUGUAGUCAGUGUGUAGUUAGUGUGUAGUUAGUGUGUAGUCAGUGUGUAGUUAGUGUGUAGUCAGUGUGUAGUCAGUGUGUAGUCAGUGUGUAUGUAGUGUGUAGUCAGUGUGUAGUUAGUGUGUAGUUAGUGUGUAGUUAGUGUGUAGUCAGUGUGUAGUUAGUGUGUAGUCAGUGUGUAGUUAGUGUGUAGUCAGUGUGUAGUCAGUGUGUAGUCAGUGUGUAGUGAGUGUGUAGUGAGCGUGUAGUUAGUGCGUAGUUAGUGCGUAGUCAGUGUGUAGUUAGUGUGUAGUUAGUGUGUAGUUAGUGUGUAGUCAGUGUGUAGUUAGUGUGUAGUUAGUGUGUAGUCAGUGUGUAGUUAGUGUGUAGUUAGUGUGUAGUUAGUGUGUAGUCAGUGUGUAGUUAGUGUGUAGUUAGUGUGUAGUCAGUGUGUAGUUAGUGUGUAGUUAGUGUGUAGUCAGUGUGUAGUCAGUGUGUAGUUAGUGUGUAGUUAGUGUGUAGUCAGUGUGUAGUCAGUGUGUAGUUAGUGUGUAGUCAGUGUGUAGUCAGUGUGUAGUUAGUGUGUAGUUAGUGUGUAGUCAGUGUGUAGUUAGUGUGUAGUCAGUGUGUAGUCAGUGUGUAGUUAGUGUGUAGUCAGUGUGUAGUCAGUGUGUAGUCAGUGUGUAGUUAGUGUGUAGUUAGUGUGUAGUCAGUGUGUAGUUAGUGUGUAGUCAGUGUGUAGUCAGUGUGUAGUUAGUGUGUAGUUAGUGUGUAGUGAGCGUGUAGUUAGUGUGUAGUUAGUGUGUAGUCAGUGUGUAGUCAGUGUGUAGUUAGUGUGUAGUCAGUGUGUAGUUAGUGUGUAGUCAGUGUGUAGUCAGUGUGUAGUUAGUGUGUAGUUAGUGUGUAGUCAGUGUGUAGUCAGUGUGUAGUUAGUGUGUAGUCAGUGUGUAGUCAGUGUGUAGUUAGUGUGUAGUUAGUGUGUAGUCAGUGUGUAGUUAGUGUGUAGUCAGUGUGUAGUCAGUGUGUAGUUAGUGUGUAGUCAGUGUGUAGUCAGUGUGUAGUCAGUGUGUAGUUAGUGUGUAGUCAGUGUGUAGUUAGUGUGUAGUCAGUGUGUAGUCAGUGUGUAGUUAGUGUGUAGUUAGUGUGUAGUGAGCGUGUAGUUAGUGUGUAGUUAGUGUGUAGUCAGUGUGUAGUUAGUGUGUAGUUAGUGUGUAGUUAGUGUGUAGUCAGUGUGUAGUUAGUGUGUAGUUAGUGUGUAGUCAGUGUGUAGUUAGUGUGUAGUUAGUGUGUAGUCAGUGUGUAGUUAGUGUGUAGUCAGUGUGUAGUCAGUGUGUAGUCAGUAGUGUUGUUGUGUGUCAGAACAAUGAGGCGCCUGCUGAGUGUUACAGGUGUUACAGCAGUGACACAUCUGCUGCUGUCAGGCCUGCAGGUAUCAGGCUGUUGUUCUCCUUCAUCUCAUAGUGGAC